UACGGAGGAUCCAAGCGUUAUCCGGAAUUACUGGGCGUAAAGAGUUGCGUAGGUGGCAUAGUAAGCAGAUAGUGAAAUCGUGGGGCUCAACCUCAUAACCAUUAUUUGAACUGCUAAGCUUGAGAACGAGAGAGGUAGCUGGAAUUCCUAGUGUAGGAGUGAAAUCCGUAGAUAUUAGGAGGAACACCGAUGGCGUAGGCAGGCUACUGGCUCGUUUCUGACACUAAGGCACGAAAGCGUGGGGAGCGACCGGG
rnacentral:rRNA from 1 species